rnacentral:rRNA from 1 species
GACGAACGCUGGCGGCGUGCUUAACACAUGCAAGUCGAACGGUGAAAGCGGAGCUUGCUCCGCUGGAUCAGUGGCGAACGGGUGAGUAACACGUGGGCAACCUGCCCCUCACUUCGGGAUAACUCCGGGAAACCGGGGCUAAUACCGGAUAUGACCUCCUUGGGCAUCCUUGGAGGUGGAAAGUUUUUCGGCUGGGGAGGGGCCCGCGGCCUAUCAGCUUGUUGGUGGGGUAGUGGCCUACCAAGGCGACGACGGGUAGCCGGCCUGAGAGGGUGACCGGCCACACUGGGACUGAGACACGGCCCAGACUCCUACGGGAGGCAGCAGCUAAGAAUAUUCCGCAAUGGGCGAAAGCCUGACGGAGCGACGUCGCGUGAGGGAUGAAGGCCUUCGGGUUGUAAACCUCUUUCGGCAGGGAAGAAUAAGGUAAGGAGGUAAUGCCUUACUGAUGACGGUACCUGCAUAAGAAGCCCCGGCUAAC